UACGUAGGGGGGCUAGCGUUGUCCGGAAUCAUUGGGCGUAAAGCGCGUGUAGGCGGUCCGGUAAGUCCGCUGUGAAAGUCCAAGGCUCAACCUUGGGAUGCGGGUGGAUACUGCCGGGCUAGAGUGCUGUAGGGGGAGACUGGAAUUCCUGGUGUAGCGGUGAAAUGCGCAGAUAUCUGGAGGAACACCGGUGGCGAAGGCGGAU
rnacentral:rRNA from 1 species